UGCGCAGGCGGUUUGUUAAGUCAGAUGUGAAAGCCCCGGGCUCAACUUGGGAACUGCAUUUGAUACUGGCAAACUAGAGUGUGGUAGAGGGAAGUGGAAUUCCUCAUGUAGCGGUGAAAUGCGUAGAUAUGAGGAGGAACACCAGUGGCGAAGGCGACUUCCUGGACCAACACUGACGCUCAGGUACGAAAGCGUGGGUAGCAAACA
rnacentral:rRNA from 1 species